rnacentral:rRNA from 1 species
AGACCCGAAACCCGGUGAUCUAGCCAUGGGCAGGUUGAAGGUUGGGUAACACUAACUGGAGGACCGAACCGACUAAUGUUGAAAAAUUAGCGGAUGACCUGUGGCUGGGGGUGAAAGGCCAAUCAAACCGGGAGAUAGCUGGUUCUCCCCGAAAGCUAUUUAGGUAGCGCCUCGUGAAUUCAUCUCCGGGGGUAGAGCACUGUUUCGGCUAGGGGGCCAUCCCGGCUUACCAACCCGAUGCAAACUGCGAAUACCGGAGAAUGUUAUCACGGGAGACACACGGCGGGUGCUAACGUCCGUCGUGAAGAGGGAAACAACCCAGACCGCCAGCUAAGGUCCCAAAGUCAUGGUUAAGUGGGAAACGAUGUGGGAAGGCCCAGACAGCCAGGAUGUUGGCUUAGAAGCAGCCAUCAUUUAAAGAAAGCGUAAUAGCUCACUGGUCGAGUCGGCCUGCGCGGAAGAUGUAACGGGGCUAAACCAUGCACCGAAGCUGCGGCAGCGACGCUGAUGCGUUGUUGGGUAGGGGAGCGUUCUGUAAGCCUGCGAAGGUGGCCUGUGAGGGUUGCUGGAGGUAUCAGAAGUGCGAAUGCUGACAUAAGUAACGAUAAAGCGGGUGAAAAGCCCGCUCGCCGGAAGACCAAGGGUUCCUGUCCAACGUUAAUCGGGGCAGGGUGAGUCGACCCCUAAGGCGAGGCCGAAAGGCGUAGUCGAUGGGAAACGGGUUAAUAUUCCCGUACUUGGUGUUACUGCGAAGGGGGGACGGAGAAGGCUAUGUUGGCCGGGCGACGGUUGUCCCGGUUUAAGCGUGUAGGUGUGUGUUCCAGGUAAAUCCGGUUCACUUUAACACUGAGGCGUGAUGACGAGGCACUACGGUGCUGAAGCAACAAAUGCCCUGCUUCCAGGAAAAGCCUCUAAGCAUCAGGUAACAUCAAAUCGUACCCCAAACCGACACAGGUGGUCAGGUAGAGAAUACCAAGGCGCUUGAGAGAACUCGGGUGAAGGAACUAGGCAAAAUGGUGCCGUAACUUCGGGAGAAGGCACGCUGACACGUAGGUGAAGUGAUUUACUCAUGGAGCUGAAGUCAGUCGAAGAUACCAGCUGGCUGCAACUGUUUAUUAAAAACACAGCACUGUGCAAACACGAAAGUGGACGUAUACGGUGUGACGCCUGCCCGGUGCCGGAAGGUUAAUUGAUGGGGUCAGCGCAAGCGAAGCUCCUGAUCGAAGCCCCGGUAAACGGCGGCCGUAACUAUAACGGUCCUAAGGUAGCGAAAUUCCUUGUCGGGUAAGUUCCGACCUGCACGAAUGGCGUAAUGAUGGCCAGGCUGUCUCCACCCGAGACUCAGUGAAAUUGAACUCGCUGUGAAGAUGCAGUGUACCCGCGGCAAGACGGAAAGACCCCGUGAACCUUUACUAUAGCUUGACACUGAACAUUGAGCCUUGAUGUGUAGGAUAGGUGGGAGGCUUUGAAGUGUGGACGCCAGUCUGCAUGGAGCCGACCUUGAAAUACCACCCUUUAAUGUUUGAUGUUCUAACGUGGACCCGUGAUCCGGGUUGCGGACAGUGUCUGGUGGGUAGUUUGACUGGGGCGGUCUCCUCCUAAAGAGUAACGGAGGAGCACGAAGGUUGGCUAAUCCUGGUCGGACAUCAGGAGGUUAGUGCAAUGGCAUAAGCCAGCUUGACUGCGAGCGUGACGGCGCGAGCAGGUGCGAAAGCAGGUCAUAGUGAUCCGGUGGUUCUGAAUGGAAGGGCCAUCGCUCAACGGAUAAAAGGUACUCCGGGGAUAACAGGCUGAUACCGCCCAAGAGUUCAUAUCGACGGCGGUGUUUGGCACCUCGAUGUCGGCUCAUCACAUCCUGGGGCUGAAGUAGGUCCCAAGGGUAUGGCUGUUCGCCAUUUAAAGUGGUACGCGAGCUGGGUUUAGAACGUCGUGAGACAGUUCGGUCCCUAUCUGCCGUGGGCGCUGGAGAACUGAGGGGGGCUGCUCCUAGUACGAGAGGACCGGAGUGGACGCAUCACUGGUGUUCGGGUUGUCAUGCCAAUGGCACUGCCCGGUAGCUAAAUGCGGAAGAGAUAAGUGCUGAAAGCAUCUAAGCACGAAACUUGCCCCGAGAUGAGUUCUCCCUGAGACUUAAAGUCUCCUGAAGGAACGUUGAAGACGACGACGUUGAUAGGCCGGGUGUGUAAG